rnacentral:rRNA from 1 species
UGCCAGCCGCCGCGGUAAGACGAAGGUGGCAACCGUUGUUCGGAAUUACUGGGCAUAAAGCGCGCGUAGGCGGCGACAUCAGUCAGGUGUGAAAUCCCUCGGCCCAACCGAGGAACUGCGCUUGAUACUGUGUCGCUUGAGGAUGGGAGGGGAGCGUGGAAUUCCUGGUGGAGCGGUGAAAUGCGUUGAUAUCAGGAGGAACACCGGCGGCGAAGGCGACGCUCUGGCCCAUUUCUGACGCUGAGGUGCGAAAGCUAGGGUAGCAAACGGGAUUAGAUA